UGCAAUUAUUAUGAUAAACGUGCAUUUUUCUUUUGUAUAUCUUCUCAUUUAUGUGAAUAUACUAAAUUUCCAACAAGUUCAACAAGUUUAAUCAUUUAAAUAGCAUAUUUUCCAAGAAAAUAUCCAUCACAACACCCCCCCCCCCCCCCUGGGAUUUUCAAAAAACCAAUUUAAAUUAAAGAAAUUGUGAUUUUAACUUGAAUGUAAUUUAUUUUGAGUUUUUACAUAAAAAAAAUGAAAAUGUAGGUGUGUUUCUAAUUAUAUAUGAGUUUAGAAGACAUUUUUAUAAAUUUUGAGACCAAAUAUCUUUUCGGGUUUUUAGUGCGAUCAUUUCAAGCGAGCAAAAGUGAAAGUAGAAAAGCAGAAAGUUUCCGGUGAGGAAAAAUACUUCAUUCUAGCAGUGUCCAGCUAUCUAAGAUUAGUUUGCAUUGUAAGGGAAUUGUAUUAGUGUCCGAUAACAUGUAAAUUCAAAUGGAAGUCUUCUUCAAAGAAUAAAACACAACAAUGAGCCACACUUGAUAGUUUUUCAAUACAGACGCAUUUUGCCGGAAAACGAAUCUGACUUCAAACCACGAAAUUUUAACAGGAAAGAGACAAUUUGAUGAGCUUUCAUUCAAGAGGUCCCUCGUUGCUGAACGAAAAUUAGGG